CACGGAGUUAGCCGAUCCUUAUUCCUUUGGUACAUUCAGCUCAUUACACGUAAUGAGGUUUAUUCCCGAAUAAAAGCAGUUUACGACCCAGAGGGCUGUCUUCCUGCACGCGGCAUGGCUGGUUCAGAGUUGCCUCCAUUGACCAAUAUUCCUUACUGCUGCCUCCCGUAGGAGUCUGGUCCGUGUCUCAGUACCAGUGUGGGGGGUCAUCCUCUCAGAUCCCCUGGUCAUCGUCGCCUUGGUGGGCCGUUACCCCGCCAACUAGCUAAUGACACGCAUGCCCAUCUUAAUCCUAUAAAUAUUUGAACAUUGGAUAAUGCUAUCCUGUGUUUUUAUGCGGUGUUAAUCGAAUUUCUUCGGGCUAUCCCCCUGAUUAAGGUAGGUUGCAUACGCGUUACGCACCCGUGCCGCCACUUCGUCAAGAUCAAGCUCUCAACUAUCGUUCGACUUGCAUGUAUUAGCCUGCCGCUAGCGUUCAUCCUGAGCAGGAUA
rnacentral:rRNA from 1 species